GCCUCUUUGUCUGUCGACUGUAGGUAUAUAGAUGGGGGUAAUUUCAUUGAUGUGCAGUGUGCAUGAGUGGAGCAUUGCAUUGCCGCAUAAAAGCAGGGCAGGUUAGGAGCUCUAUAAGCUUGCGAAGCGCCUGGCUAGAAUAGCAUCGUAGUAAUCCAAAACAAACGCCUCAGCUUCUAAAUGUAGACGAUUGAUUGAAAGGAACUUAACCCAAACAGACACCAGAAUCAGGGAGUCAGAAAAGCCAGUCGAAUGCACCGGCUGAUUUGGCGCACAAAGAGUGGAAUCUAUAAAAGCGGACGGCCAACAAAGGCAAAAUGCGAGGGGG
rnacentral:sRNA from 2 species